rnacentral:rRNA from 1 species
UGGGGAAUAUUGCACAAUGGGGGAAACCCUGAUGCAGCCAUGCCGCGUGUGUGAAGAAGGCCUUCGGGUUGUAAAGCACUUUCAGUAGGGAGGAAAGGGUGUAGUUUAAUACGCUAUAUCUGUGACGUUACCUACAGAAGAAGGACCGGCUAACUCCGUGCCAGCAGCCGCGGUAAUACGGAGGGUCCGAGCGUUAAUCGGAAUUACUGGGCGUAAAGCGUGCGCAGGCGGUUUGUUAAGCGAGAUGUGAAAGCCCUGGGCUCAACCUAGGAAUAGCAUUUCGAACUGGCGAACUAGAGUCUUGUAGAGGGGGGUAGAAUUCCAGGUGUAGCGGUGAAAUGCGUAGAGAUCUGGAGGAAUACCGGUGGCGAAGGCGGCCCCCUGGACAAAGACUGACGCUCAUGCACGAAAGCGUGGGGAGCAAACAGG